rnacentral:rRNA from 1 species
AUUGAACGCUGGCGGCAUGCUUUACACAUGCAAGUCGAACGGUAACAGGCCUUCGGGUGCUGACGAGUGGCGAACGGGUGAGUAAUGCAUCGGAACGUACCCAGAGGUGGGGGAUAACGCAGCGAAAGCUGUGCUAAUACCGCAUGUGAUCUGAGGAUGAAAGCGGGGGACCGCGCAGCAAUGUUUGGCCUCGCGCCUUUGGAGCGGCCGAUGUCGGAUUAGCUAGUUGGUGGGGUAAAGGCCUACCAAGGCGACGAUCCGUAGCUGGUCUGAGGGGACGACCAGCCACACUGGGACUGAGACACGGCCCAGACUCCUACGGGAGGCAGCAGUGGGGAAUUUUGGACAAUGGGCGCAAGCCUGAUCCAGCAAUGCCGCGUGCGGGAAGAAGGCCUUCGGGUUGUAAACCGCUUUUGGCAGGAACGAAACGGUGUCCGCUAAUACCGGGCGCUAAUGACGGUACCUGCAGAAUAAGCACCGGCUAACUACGUG